GUUUAUUCCUGGUUGAACUAGAUUUGAAGCAGUACUUGGGUUAAUUGUAGUAUCAGGACUUGUCCUCCCCUCUUGUUGCGCUUUCAAUUGCAAAAAUCUAGCCUUAUCGCUAGGGUGUAAUCUUAUAUGCUUAACUAAACUACCCGUGCCACUACGAUCUCUAGUAUACCUAUGCACAAGUAGUUUCCCACAAGAUUUACACUUAGCCUUAUUUUGUUCUCUUAGUUGAAUAAAAAUUGCCAAACUAAUGAUGUUUCUGAACGUUUAGGAGGUUGUCUACUAAAAGUGGGAGUUUGUACGGGUGGGUGUUUCGGUUCAUCACCUAAAUUAUGAGAAGGACUAGUAGGUGUAUCAUCUAAAUCUACUGCAGCUUGGGUUUCGUCAUCAUCAUCAUCCUCAUUUCCCUCUAAGAUAGGUGCAUUAGGA
rnacentral:lncRNA from 1 species